rnacentral:rRNA from 1 species
AACGAACGCUGGCGGCAGGCCUAACACAUGCAAGUCGAGCGGACAUCUUCGGAUGUUAGCGGCGGACGGGUGAGUAACGCGUGGGAACGUGCCCUUUGCUUCGGAAUAGCCUCGGGAAACUGGGAGUAAUACCGGAUGUACCCUUUGGGGAAAGAUUUAUCGGCAAAGGAUCGGCCCGCGUUGGAUUAGGUAGUUGGUGGGGUAAUGGCCUACCAAGCCGACGAUCCAUAGCUGGUUUGAGAGGAUGAUCAGCCACACUGGGACUGAGACACGGCCCAGACUCCUACGGGAGGCAGCAGUGGGGAAUCUUAGACAAUGGGGGAAACCCUGAUCUAGCCAUGCCGCGUGAGCGAUGAAGGCCUUAGGGUUGUAAAGCUCUUUCACCGGGGAAGAUAAUGACGGUACCCGGAGAAGAAGCCCCGGCUAACUCCGUG